rnacentral:rRNA from 1 species
UACGUAGGGGCUAGCGUUAUCCGGAAUUACUGGGCGUAAAGGGUGCGUAGGUGGUUUCUUAAGUCAGAGGUGAAAGGCUACGGCUCAACCGUAGUAAGCCUUUGAAACUGAGAAACUUGAGUGCAGGAGAGGAGAGUAGAAUUCCUAGUGUAGCGGUGAAAUGCGUAGAUAUCACGAGGAACUCCGAUUGCGCAGGCAGCUUACUAAACUACUACUGACGCUCAGGCACGAAGGCGUUGGGAUCAAACAGGAUUAGAUACCCCGGUAGUCCCUGAG